UUUCCAUCCAAUGACUCCGCAGGUGGAUGGGGCCGAACCCCACGGGGCUUGGAGAGGAAGAGGGUGAGACCCGCUGUGGAAGGAGGGUGUCCGGGUGCAUGCCACCAAGCCCAGGGUGCAAGGAGGGAGAGGUGGCUGCGAGACUGAAGCUCGCCCCGUUUCCGGGAAGCUGAGUCAACUGUUUGCCCAUCCCGUCUGGGUCACCCCAAGACCUGUGCUGGGGAGCGGUGCCACCCCCAUUCCACAGCCCAGCAUGGUGUCCUGGUGUCCCCAGAAAGCACACCGGCACUUUUGGGAUGUCUCCAGAGGGAUUUUAGGGCCCUAGAGCAUCUUUUCCAACAUUUUGGCGGCAGCUUGGGAGCUUGAAUCCCGUUGGGUUUGUUGGUGGGGGUGUUUUUUUUAAAAGGAACCAAAAUCUGAAGUUUUUCCAGGUGGUGGCAGAGCACCCGCUUCAGGGUGUCUGCACUGGGCAGAGCAAUGGACACAUCCCAGUGACCCCGGGGAGGGCAGCCGCUGGCCAGAAAAUGGGACCCUCGGUGCAUGUCCCCCUCCAGAGCAUCCGGAGAGACCCCCUGCCUGGGGGGGCUGCACUGUGGGGACCUCAAUGAGUCCUGGGGGCUGGGGAGCACCAUCUCGUGCCGUGAUGAGCCCAGCAGCGCCCGGCUGCACCCCAACUCCUGUUUUCUCUCCCCAGAGCUCAGCCCUGCAGCUCCCCCAUGGCUGCAGCCAGCGGCGAGGGGCUGGCCCGGACCCCCCUCCUGCCGGCCGGCGCUGCCCUGGCCCUGCUGGGUGUCCUGGUCUACCUGGGUGCCCUGUGUGCUGCCUGCAGACGCAAGGGCAGGAAGAAGAAGGUCCCUCCAGAUGGGGUGAAGCUGGUGGACGAGUCCCUGCUCAGACAGACGCAGCUGCGGUCGCUCAGCAAGUCCGACACGAAGCUGCACGAGCUGUACCGGGUGAAGGCCAGGGAUGACACCCAGCGACCAGCCAGCCUGGAUUUCCCCCGCGCCGCGUCCCCCCCCAUCGCCACUGCCGACUCCCUGCACAGCUCUGGCAUCAGCGUCCUCCUGCACCGCCAGCUCCCCCAAAUCCCUGUCCCCGAGCCCCCGGCCGCCUCCUCGGCCCCCGACCAGACCUACUCCAACCUGCUCUUCAACCCUCUGCGGAAGCCGGUGCCGGACACCGUCUACGAGUGCCUGGCGGUGGGGGGGGAGGAUGCCCCGGUGCCCCCCGCACCCACCAGCACCCAGGUGUCCCCUCCACGGGCCGGGCACGGGGCGGCCGAUUACGCCUGUGUCCGAAAGGUGAAGAAGACGAUGCCCACGGAGGUGGAAGAUGGGGCCGUGGCGGGGCCUUCUGCAGCCCCACAGUGGUGGGACGGGGCGGGCAAUGCCCCCCGAGCGAAGCUGGAAGAGAUGUACUCGACAGUGUGCAAAGCCACCAAGAAGAAAACUCAGGUCCCCGCGUCAUCCCCAGGGGCUGCGAAGGAGGUGGGUGCUGGGUGGCCCCCCACCUGCCGGGGGGAGGGUGCCCAGGCUGGGUGCUGGCCCUCGGCAGCCCAAGCCCCCCCAGAUCCCUGCUACGAGUCCAUCAACGACAGAGCCUGGACUGCUCAGGGCCGUGGCCCCGACCCGGACUACGAGGCCGUGGACGUUAACUGGAAGAAGGGGGCAAAACGGGAGAAGUCGGGGAAGUCCUGUGUCCCCGAGAACCUGUACGAAAGCGUCAGUGACAUUUGGGCGGGGGAGUCCCGACGAGCCCCCGCCAGGACGGCGGCCAACGGGCUGGAGGUGUACAUCACCAACCUAUAGCACCCCCCCGGCAGAGGGGUCCUCGCUCGGCUUUCCAGGGGGUUGAGCCCCCCGGGGAUGGGCACACACCAGCCCGGUGCCCGCCGGGCGGCUGCAUCCCCUCAAGUGCUCUCUGUAUAUAUUUUAUAUUCAUUUUCUUUAAGCAUCCUUGUCCCAUCCCCACCCCGUGCCAGCAGGUUGGCAUCGGGAUGCCCUGAAGUGGGUGAUUUAUGGGUGCUGGGUUUACCAAGAUGGGAAUAGGUUUGGGACCAGCUUUGUUUUGGGGCGGGUGUGGGGAGGGGGGCUGCAGGAUCAGGCCCCUCAUCAGCCAUUAUGUCAUGGCUGAGGGUCUCCUUUCUCCUCCCUCUGCCCGGGGUGGGAGCAGGGCCCCGUCCAGCCCCUGGGAAGCCCCGAACAGCUUCGGUCCCAUCACUGAAUGACCCUGGUUAUGGGGACCAGGGGCCAGUCCUGUGCCUCUGUGCAAGGCAGCGUGGGCUGGGGGCUGUGAUCCGUCCCCAUCACCCACUCCCACCUUUCAGACACGUCCAGGGGUGCCUCCAGGAGCGGAUGUCUCCCAAACACCAUUAAAAAGUUGAGAGGGAAAAAAAAACCAAACCAACUCUUAAACUGGAUCUGAAAGCCUGGUUGUGUCAGCGGCGGGUGCUGCAGCGGUGCUGGGAGCAGCGUCACCGUGAGCGGGUGCACGGAGGGU
rnacentral:lncRNA from 1 species